AGCGAACGCUGGCGGCAGGCCUAACACAUGCAAGUCGAACGGACCCUUCGGGGUUAGUGGCGGACGGGUGAGUAACACGUGGGAACGUGCCUUUUGGUUCGGAAUAGCUCCUGGAAACGGGUGGUAAUGCCGAAUGUGCCCUUUGGGGGAAAGAUUUAUCGCCAUUAGAGCGGCCCGCGUCUGAUUAGCUAGUUGGUGAGGUAAAGGCUCACCAAGGCGACGAUCAGUAGCUGGUCUGAGAGGAUGACCAGCCACAUUGGGACUGAGACACGGCCCAAACUCCUACGGGAGGCAGCAGUGGGGAAUCUUGCGCAAUGGGCGAAAGCCUGACGCAGCCAUGCCGCGUGAAUGAUGAAGGUCUUAGGAUUGUAAAAUUCUUUCACCGGGGACGAUAAUGACGGUACCCGGAGAAGAAGCCCCGGCUAACUUCGUGCCAGCCGCCGCCGUAACAC
rnacentral:rRNA from 1 species